rnacentral:rRNA from 1 species
UACAGAGGGUGCAAGCGUUAAUCGGAUUUACUGGGCGUAAAGCGCGCGUAGGCGGCUAAUUAAGUCAAAUGUGAAAUCCCCGAGCUUAACUUGGGAAUUGCAUUCGAUACUGGUUAGCUAGAGUGUGGGAGAGGAUGGUAGAAUUCCAGGUGUAGCGGUGAAAUGCGUAGAGAUCUGGAGGAAUACCGAUGGCGAAGGCGGCCAUCUGGCUCAACAUUGACGCUGAGGCACGAAAGCGUGGGGAGCAAACAGG